rnacentral:tRNA from 1 species
CAUAUUAGAGUUUGGGUGUGAAUAAUUCAUUUACAUUGAAUUGGGCUGGUAGAGUAAUAUGA